rnacentral:rRNA from 1 species
AGAGUUUGAUCCUGGCUCAGAUUGAACGCUGGCGGCAUGCCUUACACAUGCAAGUCGAACGGCAGCACGGAGCUUGCUCUGGUGGCGAGUGGCGAACGGGUGAGUAAUAUAUCGGAACGUACCCUAGAGUGGGGGAUAACGUAGCGAAAGUUACGCUAAUACCGCAUACGAUCUACGGAUGAAAGUGGGGGAUCGCAAGACCUCAUGCUCAUGGAGCGGCCGAUAUCUGAUUAGCUAGUUGGUAGGGUAAAAGCCUACCAAGGCAUCGAUCAGUAGCUGGUCUGAGAGGACGACCAGCCACACUGGAACUGAGACACGGUCCAGACUCCUACGGGAGGCAGCAGUGGGGAAUUUUGGACAAUGGGCGAAAGCCUGAUCCAGCAAUGCCGCGUGAGUGAAGAAGGCCUUCGGGUUGUAAAGCUCUUUUGUCAGGGAAGAAACGGUUGUCUCUAAUACAGAUGGCUAAUGACGGUACCUGAAGAAUAAGCACCGGCUAACUACGUGCCAGCAGCCGCGGUAAUACGUAGGGUGCAAGCGUUAAUCGGAAUUACUGGGCGUAAAGCGUGCGCAGGCGGUUGUGUAAGACAGAUGUGAAAUGCCCGGGCUUAACCUGGGAACUGCAUUUGUGACUGCAUGGCUAGAGUUUGGCAGAGGGGGGUAGAAUUCCACGUGUAGCAGUGAAAUGCGUAGAUAUGUGGAGGAACACCGAUGGCGAAGGCAGCCCCCUGGGUCAAGACUGACGCUCAUGCACGAAAGCGUGGGGAGCAAACAGGAUUAGAUACCCUGGUAGUCCACGCCCUAAACGAUGUCUACUAGUUGUCGGGUCUUAAUUGACUUGGUAACGCAGCUAACGCGUGAAGUAGACCGCCUGGGGAGUACGGUCGCAAGAUUAAAACUCAAAGGAAUUGACGGGGACCCGCACAAGCGGUGGAUGAUGUGGAUUAAUUCGAUGCAACGCGAAAAACCUUACCUACCCUUGACAUGGCUGGAAUCCCUGAGAGAUUGGGGAGUGCUCGAAAGAGAACCAGUACACAGGUGCUGCAUGGCUGUCGUCAGCUCGUG